UACGUAGGGCGCAAGCGUUAUCCGGAAUUAUUGGGCGUAAAGAGCUCGUAGGCGGUUUGUCGCGUCUGACGUGAAAUCCCCAGGCUCAACCUGGGAACUGCGUCUGAUACUGGAUGGCUUGAAUCCGGGAGAGGGAUGCAGAAUUCCAGGUGUAGCGGUGAAAUGCGUAGAUAUCUGGAGGAAUACCGGUGGCGAAGGCGGCAUCCUGGACCGGCAUUGACGCUGAGGAGCGAAAGCCAGGGGAGCAAACGGG
rnacentral:rRNA from 1 species